rnacentral:tRNA from 1 species
GAAAUUUAUAGGAUUAACAAUAGUUUGCUAAGCUUGUUGUUUUGCGGUUCAAGUCCGUUGAAAUUUCG